GAUGAACGCUAGCGGCAGGCCUAAUACAUGCAAGCUGAACGGUAAAUGUUAUAGCAAUAUAAUAUGAGAGUAGCGUAAGGGUGCGUAACACGUAUGCAAUCUACCCGCAACAGGAGGAUAGCUCCCCGAAAGGGGAAUUAAUACUCCAUAAGAUCACGAGAGGGCAUCUGAUUGUGAUUAAACUCCAAGGGGUUGCGGAUGAGCAUGCGUCUGAUUAGUUAGUUGGUGAGGUAACGGCUCACCAAGACGAUGAUCAGUAGGGGAACUGAGAGGUUGAUCCCCCACACUGGCACUGAGAUACGGGCCAGACUCCUACGGGAGGCAGCAGUAGGGAAUAUUGGUCAAUGGGUGAGAGCCUGAACCAGCCAUGCCGCGUGCAGGAAGAAAGCCUUCUGGGUUGUAAACUGCUUUUGCCAGGGGAUAAAAUACCCAUGCGUGGGGAAUUGAAGGUACCUGGUGAAUAAGCCACGGCUAACUACGUGCCAGCCGCCGCGGUAAGAC
rnacentral:rRNA from 1 species